rnacentral:rRNA from 1 species
AACAUCUAAGUACCCCGAGGAAAAGAAAUCAACCGAGAUUCCGAAAGUAGCGGCGAGCGAAAUUGGACUAGCCCUUAAGCUUUACACGCGUUAGACGAACGGUCUGGAAAGUCCGACGAUACAGGGUGAUAGUCCCGUAGUUGACGACGUGUGUUCAGUGAAAUCGAGUAGGGCGGGACACGUGAUAUCCUGUCUGAAUAUGGGGGGACCAUCCUCCAAGGCUAAAUACUACUGACUGACCGAUAGUGAACCAGUACCGUGAGGGAAAGGCGAAAAGAACCCCUGUGAGGGGAGUGAAAUAGAACCUGAAACCGUGUACGUACAAGCAGUAGGAGCAGGCUUGUCCUGUGACUGCGUACCUUUUGUAUAAUGGGUCAGCGACUUAUAUUCAGUGGCAAGGUUAACCAUCUAGGGGAGCCGUAGGGAAACCGAGUCUUAACUGGGCGUUCAGUCUCUGGAUAUAGACCCGAAACCAGGUGAUCUAGCCAUGGGCAGGUUGAAGGUUGAGUAACAUCAACUGGAGGACCGAACCGACUAAUGUUGAAAAAUUAGCGGAUGACUUGUGGCUAGGGGUGAAAGGCCAAUCAAACCUGGAGAUAGCUGGUUCUCCCCGAAAGCUAUUUAGGUAGCGCCUCGGACGAAUACUACUGGGGGUAGAGCACUGUUAAGGCUAGGGGGUCAUCCCGACUUACCAACCCUUUGCAAACUCCGAAUACCAGUAAGUACUAUCCGGGAGACACACGGCGGGUGCUAACGUCCGUCGUGGAGAGGGAAACAACCCAGACCGCCAGCUAAGGUCCCAAAUUACUACUAAGUGGGAAACGAUGUGGGAAGGCUCAGACAGCCAGGAUGUUGGCUUAGAAGCAGCCAUCAUUUAAAGAAAGCGUAAUAGCUCACUGGUCGAGUCGGCCUGCGCGGAAGAUGUAACGGGGCUAAGUAGUAAACCGAAGCUGCGGCAAUACUCUUUGAGUAUUGGGUAGGGGAGCGUUCUGUAAGCGGUUGAAGGUGUGUGGUAACGCAUGCUGGACGUAUCAGAAGUGCGAAUGCUGACAUGAGUAACGAUAAAGGGGGUGAAAAACCUCCUCGCCGGAAGACCAAGGGUUCCUGUCCAACGUUAAUCGGGGCAGGGUAAGUCGACCCCUAAGGCGAGGCCGAAAGGCGUAGUCGAUGGGAAACGGGUUAAUAUUCCCGUACUUCUUACAAUUGCGAUGGGGGGACGGAGAAGGCUAGGUGGGCCUGGCGACGGUUGUCCAGGUUCAAGUGCGUAGGCUUAAGAGUUAGGUAAAUCCGGCUCUUUCUAAGGCUGAGACACGACGUCGAGCACCUACGGGUGUGAAGUCAUUGAUGCCAUGCUUCCAGGAAAAGCCUCUAAGCUUCAGAUUGUAAGGAAUCGUACCCCAAACCGACACAGGUGGUCGGGUAGAGAAUACCAAGGCGCUUGAGAGAACUCGGGUGAAGGAACUAGGCAAAAUGGUACCGUAACUUCGGGAGAAGGUACGCUCUUGAUGGUGAAGUCCCUUGCGGAUGGAGCUGACGAGAGUCGCAGAUACCAGGUGGCUGCAACUGUUUAUUAAAAACACAGCACUGUGCAAAAUCGUAAGAUGACGUAUACGGUGUGACGCCUGCCCGGUGCCGGAAGGUUAAUUGAUGGGGUUAGACUUCGGUCGAAGCUCUUGAUCGAAGCCCCGGUAAACGGCGGCCGUAACUAUAACGGUCCUAAGGUAGCGAAAUUCCUUGUCGGGUAAGUUCCGACCUGCACGAAUGGCGUAAUGAUGGCCACGCUGUCUCCACCCGAGACUCAGUGAAAUUGAAAUCGCUGUGAAGAUGCAGUGUACCCGCGGCUAGACGGAAAGACCCCGUGAACCUUUACUACAGCUUGGCACUGAACAUUGACCCUACAUGUGUAGGAUAGGUGGGAGGCUUUGAAGCAGGUACGCCAGUAU